rnacentral:rRNA from 1 species
ACGGAAGGCAGCAGUGGGGAAUAUUGCACAAUGGGCGAAAGCCUGAUGCAGCGACGCCGCGUGAGUGAAGAAGUAUCUCGGUAUGUAAAGCUCUAUCAGCAGGGAAGAAAAUGACGGUACCUGACUAAGAAGCCCCGGCUAACUACGUGCCAGCAGCCGCGGUAAUACGUAGGGGGCAAGCGUUAUCCGGAUUUACUGGGUGUAAAGGGAGCGUAGACGGUUUGGCAAGUCUGAAGUGAAAUGCGGGGGCUCAACUCCUGAACUGCUUUGGAAACUGUCGAACUAGAGUGCAGGAGAGGUAAGUGGAAUUCCUAGUGUAGCGGUGAAAUGCGUAGAUAUUAGGAGGAACACCAGUGGCGAAGGCGGCUUACUGGACUGUAACUGACGUUGAGGCUCGAAAGCGUGGGGAGCAAACAGUAUUAGAUACCCUGGUA